UCCUGCUCACACAGUCCCACCCCCGGUAUCUGCUUAGCGAGGCUUUCCAAGGAGUCAAGGGAUUCCUUGAUCGCGUUAGGCAAAAGUUUCAAAAAUUUUCAGAGGCUGAUCCAAAUUUGCAGCCCCUCAGGGGUGAAGACAGAGAGAAAACUUCAAUCCCUCACUUCUAUUUCUUUUGGAGGGAAGAGGAAUGACACUUCUGCAGGGCAUUGUAAUUCUUGAGUUUGUCUUUUGGACCGUCUUGGAAAGCUACAGGUAAAGUGCUUGAAAAGGAAGAAGACCUAUAUGGUGAAUCUAUGUGAGUUCAUCAUCCUGGGGAUUAUGACUUCCUUCUCUAAUGAGCUGAUGAUUAACUCUAAAGGAGUAUCACAGAGAAUGCAUCAUAUCAGCUUUCACUGUUAUUGGGAGAGGCUGUUGGGAAUCGUAACACAACUACACACAAUAUGAAAUGUAUUAUUGCCUAUUAAAAUAUCUGAUGUCAGAUUUUCUUGCA